rnacentral:rRNA from 1 species
CCUACGGGUGGCUGCAGUGGGGAAUAUUGGACAAUGGGGGGAACCCUGAUCCAGCCAUGCCGCGUGUGUGAAGAAGGCCCUCGGGUUGUAAAGCACUUUCAGUGAGGAAGAACGCCUGGUGGUUAAUACCCAUCAGGAAAGACAUCACUCACAGAAGAAGCACCGGCUAACUCCGUGCCAGCAGCCGCGGUAAUACGGAGGGUGCGGGCGUUAAUCGGAAUUACUGGGCGUAAAGCGCGCGUAGGUGGCUUGAUAAGCCGGUUGUGAAAGCCCCGGGCUCAACCUGGGAACGGCAUCCGGAACUGUCAAGCUAGAGUGCAGGAGAGGAAGGUAGAAUUCCCGGUGUAGCGGUGAAAUGCGUAGAGAUCGGGAGGAAUACCAGUGGCGAAGGCGGCCUUCUGGACUGACACUGACACUGAGGUGCGAAAGCGUGGGUAGCAAACAGGAUUAGAUACCCUAGUAGUC